GACGAACGCUGGCGGCGUGCUUAACACAUGCAAGUCGAACGGUGAAGCGCCUUCCUUUUUGGUGGGUGUGGAUGAGUGGCGAACGGGUGAGUAACACGUGAGUAACCUGCCCCCUUCUUCUGGAUAACCGCAUGAAAGUGUGGCUAAUACGGGAUAUUCUGGGUCUGUCGCAUGAUGGGUCUGGGAAAGAUAUUGUUUCGGUGGGGGAUGGGCUCGCGGCCUAUCAGCUUGUUGGUGGGGUGAUGGCCUACCAAGGCGGUGACGGGUAGCCGGCCUGAGAGGGUGGACGGUCACACUGGGACUGAGACACGGCGCAGACUCCUACGGGAGGCAGCAGUGGGGAAUAUUGCACAAUGGGCGAAAGCCUGAUGCAGCGACGCCGCGUGAGGGAUGGAGGCCUUCGGGUUGUGAACCUCUUUCGCCAGUGAAGCAGGCCUGCCUCGUUUGUGGGUGGGUUGACGGUAGCUGGAUAAGAAGCGCCGGCUAACUACGUG
rnacentral:rRNA from 1 species